AGUCGAACGGCAGCACGGGAGCAAUCCUGGUGGCGAGUGGCGAACGGGUGAGUAAUAUAUCGGAACGUGCCCAGUAAUGGGGGAUAGCCCGGCGAAAGCCGGAUUAAUACCGCAUACGACCUACGGGUGAAAGCGGGGGAUCGCAAGACCUCGCGUUAUUGGAGCGGCCGAUAUCAGAUUAGGUAGUUGGUGGGGUAAAGGCCUACCAAGCCUGCGAUCUGUAGUUGGUCUGAGAGGACGACCAGCCACACUGGGACUGAGACACGGCCCAGACUCCUACGGGAGGCAGCAGUGGGGAAUUUUGGACAAUGGGCGCAAGCCUGAUCCAGCAAUGCCGCGUGCAGGAAGAAGGCCUUCGGGUUGUAAACUGCUUUUGUCAGGGAAGAAAUCCUCUGGGUUAAUACCUCGGGGGGAUGACGGUACCUGAAGAAUAAGCACCGGCUAACUACGUGCCAGCAGCCGCGGUAAUACGUAGGGUGCGAGCGUUAAUCGGAAUUACUGGGCGUAAAGCGUGCGCAGGCGGUUGUGCAAGACAGGUGUGAAAUCCCCGGGCUUAACCUGGGAACUGCACUUGUGACUGCACGGCUAGAGUACGGUAGAGGGGGAUGGAAUUCCGCGUGUAGCAGUGAAAUGCGUAGAUAUGCGGAGGAACACCGAUGGCGAAGGCAAUCCCCUGGACCUGUACUGACGCUCAUGCACGAAAGCGUGGGGAGCAAACAGGAUUAGAUACCC
rnacentral:rRNA from 1 species